UAUUGCUGAGUGCGGUGUUAAACAACAAACACACACAUACAGUGGUUGAUUGAACAUAUCCCUAGAUUUACGGUGGGGAUCAAAGUAACUGGUGGCUCUAGAGGUGUGUCCAGUGGCUGCACAUGCCCUUAUUUCACCUUGUAUUUAAGUGUCAAUCUAUUGUGAGAUGUAAACAUUGUGACAGAAUUACUUUAAAAAUGACAAUAUCCACGGACCACGGCACGUGACACGACAAGCCAAUCAGGAGCGACUUUGGUAAAUGGGUCGUCCGUGCAGCAUGUGCAGAUCAGCCUUGUCCUCCGCCCUGUGUGGUCGAGCUGUGAAUGUUUAGCGUUCCGGCGGGCAGCCUUCCUUGUUGACACUUACAUUUGGUGGCAGGUGAAGAACAUUUGAAGAUACAACAAAUGAAAAUACACCGUGGCCUGUCAUCAGUCUUCCUAGCUGAGGAAACUAUCAUCUUGAGAACUAAGUCUUCAACAUGCGUUUGCGAUUCCAUCAAACUACACAGGUUUAGGCAGGAGGCAUGGUCAUACAUUCAGGCUUACACUUGAGCCCGUGGAUUUGACCUUCAAAGUGUCAUUCUUUAAGGAAAGCGUAGAACAUCUUGGUUUCUCAAUUUCAGUUGAUGGCGUCGGUCCCCCCGUAGUAAGCAGUCCAGGAUGGUCCUGUUCCUGGACAUGGGAGCAGGUUUGGUUCACUACAUUACUUUGAUGUAUUCCCAAUGUUUCGGAUUUUGUUUUGCCAUGAAAGUAUGGGUGUCGCCAUGGCGCUGGAGGGCAUGGGCAUGGGUUGCCCAGUCGCCGCAAUAUGCGUUCCAAUCCCGGUUUGCCAGCACCAAGCAUGUAAAAACACGCCCUGGAAUAUUGACUCGGUGAAACUGAAACAAAUAUCAAAUGUCUGGCGGUGUCUACAUCACUAAUUCAUUUCAUGUACAGACCCGAGUAUGCCAAUUGUGUAUUUGAGGAGAAAUAAAUGUGUAACAACC